GGUAUGUGUGCUUGUCUACAGAUAAUUUUGAGAUUUUGAUCAAGGAAAAGCGGAAGUUUGGUUGGUGAAGGGUGAAGGUUAAAAAACUGGGAAAGAAUGUAUCCUGCUAAGAAGUCAGUGUACACAGAUUCAGCCCCUUUUUAAGAACUUCUGCUACAUCUGUUAGCUCUGCGGGAAAUCACUCAAAAGUGAGGAGGAAAGAGUAAUAACUGCGUCCUUGGGUUACCGUCAUGUCACCGUACCCUAUCAGGAGGCUCGAACAGGUCAAGCUGUUCCCGAGAGACACAUAUGCUCUAGGCAGAUAAACAGGGAACCGCAAGCCCGUGUCACAGCCUUGUGAGCUGGCCACAUUGACAUGCAUAACAAAGAACUGGGGGUUGAGUCCCCAGGGGCCAGGGCGGGCCUGCUACCAGCAUACACCUAUAAAUCAUUUAUCCAAUUUAACUUUGAUUACUAUUAAUAUUAUCAUUAUUGAUCUGUAGGCUUGUUUUUAUGUUAAAAUAUUGUCUCCUCUGUGGCUUACUUGUUACUCUCUCUUAUUGAUGUAUGAAUAAACUCAAUAUUAUAAAAUUUA